UACGGAGGGUGCGAGCGUUGUCCGGAAUCACUGGGCGUAAAGGGCGCGUAGGUGGCGGGUCAAGCGUGCGGUGAAAGCUCGGGGCUCAACCCCGAGUCGGCCGUGCGAACUAGCUUGCUUGAGCACUGUAGAGGCAGAUGGAAUUCCGGGUGUAGCGGUGGAAUGCGUAGAGAUCCGGAAGAACACCGGUGGCGAAGGCAGCUCGCUGGGACGGUACUGACGCUGAGACGCGAAAGCGUGGGGAGCAAACAGG
rnacentral:rRNA from 1 species